rnacentral:rRNA from 1 species
UUAAGCGACUAAGCGUACACGGUGGAUGCCCUGGCAGUCAGAGGCGAUGAAGGACGUGCUAAUCUGCGAAAAGCGUCGGUAAGGUGAUAUGAACCGUUAUAACCGGCGAUGUCCGAAUGGGGAAACCCAGUGCAAUUCGUUGCACUAUCGUUAACUGAAUACAUAGGUUAACGAGGCGAACCGGGGGAACUGAAACAUCUAAGUACCCCGAGGAAAAGAAAUCAACCGAGAUUCCCCCAGUAGCGGCGAGCGAACGGGGAGCAGCCCAGAGUCUGAAUCAGCUUGUGUGUUAGUGGAACGGUCUGGAAAGUCCGACGGUACAGGGUGAUAGUCCCGUACACCAAAAUGCACAGGUUGUGAACUCGAAGAGUAGGGCGGGACACGUGGUAUCCUGUCUGAAUAUGGGGGGACCAUCCUCCAAGGCUAAAUACUCCUGACUGACCGAUAGUGAACCAGUACCGUGAGGGAAAGGCGAAAAGAACCCCGGCGAGGGGAGUGAAAAAGAACCUGAAACCGUGUACGUACAAGCAGUGGGAGCACCUUCGGGUGUGACUGCGUACCUUUUGUAUAAUGGGUCAGCGACUUAUAUUCUGUAGCAAGGUUAACCGUAUAGGGGAGCCGCAGGGAAACCGAGUCUUAACUGGGCGUUAAGUUGCAGGGUAUAGACCCGAAACCCGGUGAUCUAGCCAUGGGCAGGUUGAAGGUUGGGUAACACUAACUGGAGGACCGAACCGACUAAUGUUGAAAAAUUAGCGGAUGACUUGUGGCUGGGGGUGAAAGGCCAAUCAAACCGGGAGAUAGCUGGUUCUCCCCGAAAGCUAUUUAGGUAGCGCCUCGUGAAUUCAUCUUCGGGGGUAGAGCACUGUUUCGGCUAGGGGGUCAUCCCGACUUACCAACCCGAUGCAAACUACGAAUACCGAAGAAUGUUAUCACGGGAGACACACGGCGGGUGCUAACGUCCGUCGUGAAGAGGGAAACAACCCAGACCGCCAGCUAAGGUCCCAAAGUCAUGGUUAAGUGGGAAACGAUGUGGGAAGGCACAGACAGCCAGGAUGUUGGCUUAGAAGCAGCCAUCAUUUAAAGAAAGCGUAAUAGCUCACUGGUCGAGUCGGCCUGCGCGGAAGAUGUAACGGGGCUAAACCAUGCACCGAAGCUGCGGCAGCGACACUAUGUGUUGUUGGGUAGGGGAGCGUUCUGUAAGCCUGCGAAGGUGUGCUGUGAGGCAUGCUGGAGGUAUCAGAAGUGCGAAUGCUGACAUAAGUAACGAUAAAGCGGGUGAAAAGCCCGCUCGCCGGAAGACCAAGGGUUCCUGUCCAACGUUAAUCGGGGCAGGGUGAGUCGACCCCUAAGGCGAGGCCGAAAGGCGUAGUCGAUGGGAAACAGGUUAAUAUUCCUGUACUUGGUGUUACUGCGAAGGGGGGACGGAGAAGGCUAUGUUAGCCGGGCGACGGUUGUCCCGGUUUAAGCAUGUAGGCUGGUUAUCCAGGCAAAUCCGGAUAAUCAAGGCUGAGGUGUGAUGACGAGGCACUACGGUGCUGAAGUAACAAAUGCCCUGCUUCCAGGAAAAGCCUCUAAGCAUCAGGUAACAUCAAAUCGUACCCCAAACCGACACAGGUGGUCAGGUAGAGAAUACCAAGGCGCUUGAGAGAACUCGGGUGAAGGAACUAGGCAAAAUGGUGCCGUAACUUCGGGAGAAGGCACGCUGGUGUGUAGGUGAAGUCCCUGCGGAUGGAGCUGAGACCAGUCGAAGAUACCAGCUGGCUGCAACUGUUUAUUAAAAACACAGCACUGUGCAAACACGAAAGUGGACGUAUACGGUGUGACGCCUGCCCGGUGCCGGAAGGUUAAUUGAUGGGGUUAUCCGUAAGGAGAAGCUCUUGAUCGAAGCCCCGGUAAACGGCGGCCGUAACUAUAACGGUCCUAAGGUAGCGAAAUUCCUUGUCGGGUAAGUUCCGACCUGCACGAAUGGCGUAAUGAUGGCCAGGCUGUCUCCACCCGAGACUCAGUGAAAUUGAACUCGCUGUGAAGAUGCAGUGUACCCGCGGCAAGACGGAAAGACCCCGUGAACCUUUACUAUAGCUUGACACUGAACAUUGAGCCUUGAUGUGUAGGAUAGGUGGGAGGCUUUGAAGCGUGGACGCCAGUCUGCGUGGAGCCGACCUUGAAAUACCACCCUUUAAUGUUUGAUGUUCUAACGUUGGCCCCUUACCGGGGUUGCGGACAGUGUCUGGUGGGUAGUUUGACUGGGGCGGUCUCCUCCCAAAGCGUAACGGAGGAGCACGAAGGUUAGCUAAUCCUGGUCGGACAUCAGGAGGUUAGUGCAAUGGCAUAAGCUAGCUUGACUGCGAGCGUGACGGCGCGAGCAGGUGCGAAAGCAGGUCAUAGUGAUCCGGUGGUUCUGAAUGGAAGGGCCAUCGCUCAACGGAUAAAAGGUACUCCGGGGAUAACAGGCUGAUACCGCCCAAGAGUUCAUAUCGACGGCGGUGUUUGGCACCUCGAUGUCGGCUCAUCACAUCCUGGGGCUGAAGUAGGUCCCAAGGGUAUGGCUGUUCGCCAUUUAAAGUGGUACGCGAGCUGGGUUUAGAACGUCGUGAGACAGUUCGGUCCCUAUCUGCCGUGGGCGCUGGAGAAUUGAGGGGGGCUGCUCCUAGUACGAGAGGACCGGAGUGGACGCAUCACUGGUGUUCGGGUUGUCAUGCCAAUGGCACUGCCCGGUAGCUAAAUGCGGAAGAGAUAAGUGCUGAAAGCAUCUAAGCACGAAACUUGCCCCGAGAUGAGUUCUCCCUGAGACUUUAAGUCUCCUGAAGGAACGUUGAAGACGACGACGUUGAUAGGCCGGGUGUGUAAGCGCAGCGAUGCGUUGAGCUAACCGGUACUAAUGAACCGUGAGGCUUAACCUU